CCUUAAUUUCCCCAUCUUCAGAAAAAGGGGUUUAUUUUCGCAUGUACAUUACAGUGCCUAGCACAUAGUUUUUUAUAGUUGCAAAUUUCUUUUUAAAGUUCAGAAUGUAUAAGAAAAGCUAAAUUUCCUUUGUGUUGCUAUUUGAUUUAGCCAUCAAGUGACUUAAACUUUUUUGUGUGUGACUUAAACUUUUAAAGUCAAGUUUUGAAAAAAGUUGUCUUUCGUUAAACCUUGUUUAGUCCAGCUUAAAAUUUUUAAUUGUUGUAUACUAGAUCUCUUCUGCCUAGCUUUUUGUUAGUUUCUAUAAUCUUGUCUGCCAUCUUUUCAAAUUUUUGUGGUUUUACCAAAUUUGUUAUCACAAAGCAUAGGUGGUUUCAUAAUCCUGGGGAAAUGUGCACAUGAUAGACAGUGACGGGCUUUUGACAUCCAAAGAAAAGAAUACUUCUGGCGAUGAUGCCUUUAUGUUGUAGUGUUCUCAUUUCUAGGAUUACAUCACAGCUUUCCUCUCCAUGCAAAGCUUUUGGAAAUUCUCUUUGACGAGGCCUCUGAUCGCCAAGGAGAGUAGAGGCCAGCUUCAGUGGUGUGACACGGAAGGUCUCUGGUUCUCCUCAGAUCACACUGCCUUUAAGCCAUCUCAGUCUUAACUGUGUCUAGUCAUUAAACUGCAUACCACUCCAUCCUAGUUUAUUCAACCCAUCCUCUAGUGUUGGCUAAUUGAGAUGUUUCCAGUCCCUUGCUGUUAUAACAGAGCUCAUACCCUUUUGCAUCCUCAUGAUCAACAGAUGAGAACACCAGCUUCCCUAUAGCCUCGCCGACCUGGUGUGUGUUCUUGCCAGCACGAUAGGUGAGAAAGGAUACCUCACUGUAGUUUCAGGUUGCGUUUCUCUUAUCAUAGCCAGGUUGAGCAUCUUUUCAUUAUGGGUUAGAGCCAUGUGCAUUUUUUCCUAUAGAGGUUUUGGCAUUUUCCUUUUUUAGAAGCUCUCUUUAUUUAGGGAUAUUUAUCCUUUAAGCUGGACCAGAUAUUAAUGCGUGGCCCUCUUUGCCUGGCCAAGUCCCGUCCUUUCUUCGUGGGCCAGCUCCAACGUCAGCUGUCCUGGGAAACUCUUUCUGGCUUCUUAAGUAUAUGGGUUAGGAUUCCCACCUGGAUGUACCCAUUGUCUCUGCUUAUUCCCGUCCUAGCAUCCCUGCCUUCAAGGAGCUUCCAACCUGGUUGAGAGAGCUGCAAAGAGCUAACUAUAACACACUGUAAUAAAGCUAUCUUGCCUUUUACUCCCUUCCCUAUAUAUGUAGCACAGUGUCUGGCUACGGUGGACAUUGUAAGGGUUAUGAAUUGCCUCUUUGGCAGAAGUACAGCGGUGCAGAUAUUUAGUUUAAAAAAAAAUAUAUAUAUAUAUUGCAUUUGGCCAGGUGAUAUGGGAUCUGGUUGUGCCCUUCUGGAUAGAGUACAGACUUGAGGGUUUGACCUUAGGAUCCGUGCUUUGCCAGAGAACCCUAUCAAUACAGCCAACCCGUCUGGGAGCCAGCUUUGUUAGCUCCCAGUCUUCUAGUGCUGGCUGCUGUGUAACCUUACAUGGGAGAGGCUGCCAGACGGAACCCUGGAGCAUCGUCCCCCUGUGUUAUUCCUGUACCUCCCCGGAAUUCUUGUGCACACCUUGCUGGGGACAGAGCUCCUCCUGAGGACGUCCCUGUUGUCGGACCCCCCCUGCCAAGUGCAGAGUGCGCUCCACGUGGGUCAGCGUAGGUGGCAUCAGUGACUGCUGGGCCCUUUUCAUCUCCAUUCUUCCUAGUUCCCUGUCCCUGCUUUAGUCCUGCUCUGUUUCUUUGGUCUUACCCUUGUCCUUUCCCUGAACGUAUAACCUACUGCCCUAGAGCAGCCAGAACGUGGGCCUUUCUUAGCUCCCCAGAGAACUGAGUUUUGGUUUGGACUUUUGUCUUAGGUUGUCGAAUCUGGCUAGCACAAUUAGGACCAACUAGGGUGACUGACUGUUCCUUUUAGCCUGGGACUGUCCCAGGAAAUCCCUUAGUCCUGGGCGGUUGGUUGCUCUGGUUAGUGCUGACCUGGGAAACUGCUGCCUCACCAGUGACUUAAAUGAGUCUGAAGCUUUGUCUUCUAGCAUUUCCUGGGUUCAGCAUGUACACUUUUUCAUCACAGGCUGUAAGAUCAGGUAACAUUAUGUCACAGGAACUGAGUAAUCUCUUCCUGUUUAA